rnacentral:rRNA from 1 species
GUUGACCUCGGAUCAGGUAGGAAUACCCGCUGAACUUAAGCAUAUCAAUAAGCGGAGGAAAAGAAACCAACAGGGAUUGCCCCAGUAACGGCGAGUGAAGCGGCAACAGCUCAAAUUUGAAAUCUGGCCCCAGGCCCGAGUUGUAAUUUGCAGAGGAUGCUUUUGGCGCGGUGCCUUCCGAGUUCCCUGGAACGGGACGCCAUAGAGGGUGAGAGCCCCGUACGGUUGGACACCAAGCCUUUGUAAAGCUCCUUCGACGAGUCGAGUAGUUUGGGAAUGCUGCUCUAAAUGGGAGGUACAUUUCUUCUAAAGCUAAAUAUUGGCCAGAGACCGAUAGCGCACAAGUAGAGUGAUCGAAAGAUGAAAAGCACUUUGAAAAGAGGGUUAAACAGCACGUGAAAUUGUUAAAAGGGAAGCGCUUGUGACCAGACUUGCGUCCGGUGAAUCACCCAGCUCUCGCGGCUGGGGCACUUCGCCGGCACAGGCCAGCAUCAGCUUGCCGUCGGGGACAAAAGCUUCAGGAACGUGGCUCCUCUCGGGGAGUGUUAUAGCCUGUUGCAUAAUACCCUUCGGCGGGCUGAGGUACGCGCUCCGCAAGGU